GCGCCGUUAGUGUAGUGGUUAACAUCCCACCCUUCCAAGGUGGUGUCCCGGGUUCGAACCCCGGACGGCGCA
rfam:Allomyces macrogynus ATCC 38327 genomic scaffold supercont3.64, whole genome shotgun sequence.